GGUUCCAUAGUGUAAUAGGAUAACACAUCGUCCUUUCAAGGCGAAAAGUCGCAGUUCGAGCCUGCGUGGAAUCACCA
rnacentral:tRNA from 1 species